rnacentral:rRNA from 1 species
UGGGGAAUUUUGCACAAUGGGGGAAACCCUGAUGCAGCGACGCCGCGUGAUUUAGAAGGCCUUCGGGUUGUAAAAAUCUUUUGUAUAGGAAGAAAAUGACAGUACUAUACGAAUAAGGACCGGCUAAUUACGUGCCAGCAGCCGCGGUAAUACGUAAGGUCCGAGCGUUGUCCGGAAUCAUUGGGCGUAAAGGGUACGUAGGCGGGUAAGCAAGUUAGAAGUGAAAUCCUAUAGCUCAACUAUAGUAAGCUUUUAAAACUGCUCAUCUUGAGGUAUGGAAGGGAAAGUGGAAUUCCUAGUGUAGCGGUGAAAUGCGCAGAUAUAUGGAGGAACACCGGUGGCGAAAGCGGCUCUCUGGUCUGUAACUGACGCUGAGGCUCGAAAGCGUGGGGAGCGAACAGG